UUAGUCAUGUAGCCUAUCUCACCUUCCUCAUACCUUUCUUAGGGAUCUCCUUGUCCCCUCACAGGUGGCACACAGCAGCACCUGUGCCAUUCCUGCGUGGCGAGGAGCAAGGUUACUGCCUAGGUCUCUCCUGCACCAUUGACUAAGCUGCUUUCACACAGACCUUCUCCAAACUGGGUAACAGCCAUGGACCUGCGUGUUUGGGAGGCUCAGCUGAUAGACUUUGUCCUUCGCCUGGAGUCUGCUGUAAGUUAAUUUUUAAUACCAGAAAACUAAAGAGUAAAGGAAGGCCUGGUCUGAGCUUGGGAAGCUAUAUUCUACCCGACACAGCUCUUCUCGAGAUGUAAGAAGCAAUGAUGACCAACAGAAACACGCAGGAAAAGAGAAGAAGGAAAAUUCCUGACUAGACACAGGGCUCCCUGGUUCCUGUCUUUUUGGGACAAGUCUGAACCUGAAGUGCAAGGAGACACCUUCUGGACAGACAGAGCAAAGGAAUGUCUGAGAAGAGAAACUUUGGGGCAAGUGAGAACAGCUGGGGCUGAUCUGGUGGACUUAGACUCUCUUCGCUCCCCUCAUUGCAAGACACGAAGCUUCUGCUUGGGAUGUCACAGGCUGUGACAAUGAGCUCAGGGAAUAUCACACCAAAGUUAUCUAAGCAAGUUGAGGUUUCUUUCAUGCAGAGGCCCAGGGAGGAGGCAGACCCAGCUGGGCAGGGAGGCAGAGCUAGCACGAAUGAUGGGGUGACAGGACCUCUUUCUUAGGACAGAAGGCCAAAUAUUCUAUGCAGUUAAAGGAAUGAAUAUGGGUGUUUGUGGGCAUAUUUAAUGGGGGCAAUAAGGACAGAAAGGAUAUAGCGUAUUUUUUUUUAUAGUUCCUGGUACCAACAGGCUUAUUUCAUAUCAGA